rnacentral:rRNA from 1 species
GGAAAGUUGAAAAGAACUUUGAAGAGAGAGUUCAAGAGUACGUGAAACCGUUCAGGGGUAAACCUGAGAAACCCAAAAGAUCGAAUGGGGAGAUUCAUCGCAAACGGGGCCGAUUCCUGUGUGGUAUGCGAUGGUCGGUGCCUCGGUACCGGUCACGCUAUCGCUUAGGUUAUAUUGGCCACGUCAGCGUGCACUUCUCCCCUAGUAGGACGUCGCGACCCGUUGGGUGCUGGCCUACGGCCCGAUUGGUCGACUGUCGCUUGGCGUUAACGCGCUUCUCGCGGCAGACCAUUGGUUGCCCGGCCGGCUGCCCGGCGGUAUUGAUUCAUUUAUGAACGGUAUUGGGCCGCAUUAUGUGCGUCCUGGCUCGUCGGCAGGCUCGCCUCGCUCGGAUUUACGGACCUAGCGCCGUUGCCGGGUGCUUGGCGUGGCCGUUAGUCGACGAUGUCCUCGGACUGGCUCUUACAUUCGAACGGAUGUACCGGUCGGCGACGCUACUGCUUUGGGUACUUUCAGGACCCGUCUUGAACAAGGACCAAA